rnacentral:rRNA from 1 species
GACGAACGCUGGCGGCGUGCUUAACACAUGCAAGUCGAGCGGUAAGGCCCUUUCGGGGGGUACACGAGCGGCGAACGGGUGAGUAACACGUGGGUGACCUGCCCUCAGCUCUGGGAUAAGCCUGGGAAACCGGGUCUAAUACUGGAUAUGACUCCAUGACGCAUGUUGUGGGGUGGAAAGCCUUGUGCGGCUGAGGAUGGGCCCGCGGCCUAUCAGCUUGUUGGUGGGGUGANGGCCUACCAAGGCGACGACGGGUAGCCGGCCUGAGAGGGCGACCGGCCACACGUGGGACUGAGACGACCGGCCCAG